UGUGAGGAUCGAGUUGGACCUGAGGGAGGAGGUCAGACUCUGCUUCUGGCUACUCCUCUCCAGCUCCGCGAGGCCUUCCUCUGCCAUCCCUUCAUCAGGUCAGAUCCCUCUUUUAAGUAUUUACAGUUAUUGGUGAUUGUAACAAGGUUUGGAUGCACAUUUCGGGUUGGUUGAUUGGCACCAACUGCAGCAUUUCCCCCCUAUUUUUGGAGAUAUUGAGUUGUUAAUAGUAGUGGACUAGUGGUUUGCACCUGUUCAGGUUUCCUGUGUAGGUUUGUCUAUUGUAAGCUUUGAAGGAUUGCAAUGUGAUUCGAUUCAUUUCUAUCACGACUUACGUUUAUGCAAAUUAUAAAUAUAAUUAUUUCUUUUCACAUAAUCGAUUUGUCUUAGGAUAGGAGAAAACAAUGAUAAUGAUGUGCUUUACGUUUACCUAGAAGAUAACUUUUAUAUUACCUAGAAGAAAACUUUUACGGAGUACUAUUUAUCUAGGAGAGUACUAGCAAUCUUGCUAGCACUAUUUUUUUUAUUGAGAUGACAUGGAUUCCACAUUUCCACGUGCACACUGAUUAGUACACUUGAAAUUACACACAUGGAUUCCAUAUGCACGCUCACUAGUACACUUAAAAUUACACAUAACAAUUGUCGCCUAUCAGUCUAUCAACCCUUCCUUCCAUUAGCUUUCCUCUCCAGAAGCUCAGGCGGAUGAACCACGCAGGGAUGAACGCAGCACGCCUAAACAAACUGCGCAUAUACAUAUUCUGACUAAGUGACUAUAGUUCUGGCCAUAGUCAUCUUCAUCUCGCCAAGAAAUGCG
rnacentral:lncRNA from 1 species